UGUCAACAUUCUCUGCGAAGCUAUUGGUCUUCGGACCGUCAUUGGCGUCGGCCGGUGUUAUGGUCAUCAGGACGAGGCCGGACUGGACUGGGAGUGGCACAAAUGCGACGCCAACUCC
rnacentral:sRNA from 1 species